AGCUGGUUUGACUGUCAUGGGUUAUCAGAACUUAUUAACGUUAGUGUCACUAAAGUUGGUAUACAACCCCCCCGCUGCUAAAUUUGGCUUAAA
rnacentral:Y_RNA from 1 species